AAAAUAUUGCCUUUGGUAAAAGUUCCAGGAAAUGAUGAAUCUGGUGAAGCAAUUCCACACAUUGUGCAAAAACAUAUCGAUCAGAAUGCUUGCCAGCAAUUGCCAACAUUGCUGGCAAGCGCGAGAUUAACCAAUGAUACUUGGGUUACAUUUGUGUUAGUCUGGAAGUGAUCCAUUCAAUCAUUAGCAGCAAGUCGAGCAAGCUGCUGACCUUAACUGGGCUGGUGAGCACCUGGAUCUGGAUGGUGUGCAGGUAGAAAUUAGUUUAUCUUGGGCAUAGACACUGUGGGCCGAAGGGCCGGCUCCUGUGUACUGCUCUGGGUUGUGUUUUG